GUCGAGGGGCGAGCGCCCGCUUUUGGUUCGCGGAGGUGACAGUUGAUAUCGUAUAAAUACUCGCUGAUCCCAAGCUGAAGCCAUCAGUCUCUUGUGCCAGUUUCUUGUGAUCUUAGCUAGUCAGCACCAACCCGCACCCUCAACCACCAUGCAGCUCGCCGUCUUCAGCACCCUCCUCCUCCUGGCUUGCGCCUACGCUGCCCCCAUCGAAGACGCUUCCGCAGAAAGCAAACCCGCUGAGACCUCCAACAAGGAAAAGAGAGGAUUAUACGGAGUCGUCGGAUACCCAUCAGUGGCCGCCUACCACGCACCCGCUGUAGCCGCCUACCACGCACCCGCCGUCGCCGCCUACCAUGCCCCCGUUGUCGCUGCCCCAGCCGUCGCCACCUCUUACUCCCACGUUAGUGUGAGCCAUCCCGUCGCCUACCAUGCCCCAGUUGCCGCCUACCACGCGCCCGCCGUUGCCGCCUACCACGCACCCGCUGUCGCCGCCUACCACGCCCCAGUCUACGCCCCACACUCCGUCCUCUACCACUAAGCUCAAAAGAGGUGAGAAUUUCCGCCUAUGUUACCUGUAAACAACUCCGAAAUUCAAUUCAUACAGAGACGAUAUAUUUUGCACUGAAAAAAAGAUUGGUAGAAUUUACCAUUCCUUCACGUAGUAUUUUACACAGCAUGAAUUCAAAGUCGAUUCUGCCAGAGGAAUGGUUACCUGUACCAGUAUAUAGUAACGUUUACCUCUCUUCUGGCAAAAUGGACUCUGAAUUGACGCUGUGUGAAAUACAGCGUGACGGAAUGGUAAAUUCUUCCAAUCUCUUUUCUCGGUGUUGAGACUCCGCACUGCUAUCGAUAGUAGAAUUCCCUGACGUGGAUUUCCUUAGAGAGGUUCUGUUCACUGCCAACUUCAGUUACAACAAAACGAAAGUCCUCCGGGCGAUGGUGCGCCUAUAUCAUUAUUGGUCUCCAUGCUGGCAGCAACGACGACCACAUCCAAAAUUCUUGAUGGGUCGAAAAGUGGAUGGAUUCGAAUAUUCGCAAAAAUUCACCGAGCAACCGAGUUUAUUUCUUGAUAGUAGUAGAUAUUUUUAUUUUUAGAUUAAUAGAGAUUUUUAUUUCUGUUGCAACCCUGCCGAUCUGGUCAAAAAAUUUGACCCUUUGCCAUACGCGUAAAUUUGUCCUGUCAACAGUUACUUUUGGAAGUCAACGCUUAGAUUAACUCGACUACAGUGGCGUCGCGUGCUUUGCAAUUUAUCGAUUGAUCUACCAUUUAAUUCAAUGUAAAAGGAUCGAUAAACAGGGCGUUCGUAACGAACGCCUUAAUAAUCGAUUCUUUACCACAGCUAUAAAUGGGGAAAUAUCGAUAAUCGAUCAUUCACGCCACGCCACUGCUCGAAUGAUGACCAAAGAGUUGAGGAGUUGAGUGAAUGGCCAAGUAAUCCAAACGUGAACUGCAAAAAAUCGCGUAGUAAAGUGUACUCACCCCGAAUUCAUGAGUCAUCAUCGGGAGAAAUUUAUUUGAUUUUGGUUUGACAAUCAAUUUGCUCAUCAACCACGACUGAGCGCAAAUUUGCGUUGAACUUCAAAUUCAAAUUUUUGUUGCGUGUAAUUCAAACGGUCAACUAACUUUUUUCUUCGUUUUUCUGAUUGCAGAUUCAAGACUCAAAUUUCAACAGAUGACGUGAAAAUCGUCAAAUCAUGACCAAAACUACCUAAAAAUCUCAUCUCAGUCUCUCGACCUCACUCAUUUUUGUUUUAUUUAUUUUUAUUUAUUUUGAUUUGCUCCAAUAGUUCUCUAGGAUAAUUUAUGUUUAAAAAAUUAAAAUAAAUUAGUUUUAAAUUUGCUAAAUU
rnacentral:lncRNA from 1 species